rnacentral:lncRNA from 10 species
GCUAUAUUCAUUUUUUAUGUAAAUAAUUAUUCAGCUCAGCGUUUAGAUUCUGAUCAUGGCAAGAUAUUGUGAAAAGGCAUGGAUAAUUUUGUAUGACAAAAUUGGCUUUAUACCACUCCUUUUGAACAGCGAAACUUUCAAAUUGUGUUAAAGGGCUGAUUAUUCCUUGGAUAUUCUGAAUGGUUCUAAACAAUGAAGGGAAAAACACAUAUUUUGAUUUCAGUUACCCCUCUAACUAAAUAUGACUACAGCUCUGUUUUUCAUAGCUAUAUUGAAACUGUCCCUAUUAACUUUAUAAAAUGAAUCAGAGAAGAAGGGAGGGGAAAAAUGAAAAUGAAGCAAGAUUGCAGCACAUUUAGCACUAAUGAUUAGGUCAGCUUGCUCUCUGACCUGCUUCCUCAUAGUUUUUACUGCUUAUCAUCCCAGAAUCAUGUAGAUCCUGUCAAAAUAUUAUAGUUCCCCUUAAGUUCUCUAUAGAUAACGACUUAAUCAUUGUGAAAUCUUGUUUUCCUUCUGAAGUAUUCUUUCAGGUCCUGCAUACCAGUAAAACUACUGAUGCUAGCUGUUGCCUAGGACCCCAUGAGGAGGUGACUCAACAAAGAAGGCAGUUUUCAGAUCCUGAUGAUUUCAUCCCCCUAACCCUGACCAAUCAACAACCACAAUUUUCUGGACCUACACCUUUCACAAUUCUUUUACAAAAUGCCGCCCAUAACUUCUUUGGGAGACAGACUUGUGGGUCCUUUCCAUCCCCUUACUUGGCUGUCAUAUGAUCAAUAAAUGUUUUCUCUGCUGCGAACACUGUUGUCUCAGUGCAUUUGUCUGUUACUUCACAGCAGGUAUAUAAAUUUGUUAAUCCUCUAACAAUAUCAUUGUGCUGAAUAUAAUUCAGUUUGAUACUCAAGCAAUUAUUAAACAACAUUUUAAAA